rnacentral:rRNA from 1 species
AGAGUUUGAUCCUGGCUCAGCCUGAACGCUGGCGGCGUGGCUAAGACAUGCAAGUCGCACGGGGUAGCAAUACCCAGUGGCGAACGGGUGAGUAAUGAAUCGCUAAUGUACCCCGGACUCUGGGAUAGCUGCCCGAAAGGGCAGGUAAUACCAGAUGAGACCACGGUCAGGCAUCUGAUCGUGCUCAAAGGUCCGCCGGUCUGGGAGCAGGCGAUUUCGUAUCAGCUAGUUGGUGAGGUAACGGCUCACCAAGGCGACGACGCGUAGCCGGACUGAGAGGUUGGCCGGCCACAUUGGGACUGAGACACUGCCCAGACUCCUACGGGGGGCUGCAGUAACGAAUCUUCCGCAAUGCACGAAAGUGUGACGGAGCGACGCCGCGUGUAGGACGAAGCCCUUCGGGGUGUAAACUACUGUCAGGGGUUAGAAAGUUCUGAUCAACCCCAGAGGAAGGCACGGCUAACUCUGUGCCAGCAGCCGCGGUAAGACAGAGGUGCCAAGCGUUAGGCGGAAUCACUGGGCUUAAAGCGUGUGUAGGCGGAUUUGUAAGUACCUUGUGAAAUCCCACGGCUCAACCGUGGAACUGCUCGGUAUACUGCUCAUCUUGAGCCACUUAGGGGCUACCGGAACAAAUGGUGGAGCGGUGAAAUGCGUAGAUAUCAUUUGGAACGCCAAUGGUGAAAACAGGUAGCUGGGAGUGUGCUGACGCUGAGACACGAAAGCCAGGGGAGCGAACGGGAUUAGAUACCCCCGUAGUCC